rnacentral:rRNA from 1 species
AUUGAACGCUGGCGGCAUGCUUUACACAUGCAAGUCGAACGGUAACAGGCCGCAAGGUGCUGACGAGUGGCGAACGGGUGAGUAAUGCAUCGGAACGUGCCCAGUCGUGGGGGAUAACGCAGCGAAAGCUGUGCUAAUACCGCAUACGAUCUAUGGAUGAAAGCGGGGGACCGUAAGGCCUCGCGCGAUUGGAGCGGCCGAUGUCAGAUUAGGUAGUUGGUGGGGUAAAGGCCUACCAAGCCGACGAUCUGUAGCUGGUCUGAGAGGACGACCAGCCACACUGGGACUGAGACACGGCCCAGACUCCUACGGGAGGCAGCAGUGGGGAAUUUUGGACAAUGGGUGCAAGCCUGAUCCAGCAAUGCCGCGUGCAGGAAGAAGGCCUUCGGGUUGUAAACUGCUUUUGUACGGAACGAAACGGUCUGGGUUAAUACCCUGGGCUAAUGACGGUACCGUAAGAAUAAGCACCGGCUAACUACGUGCCAGCAGCCGCGGUAAUAC